CUUCUGCAAAAACAAUCGAGAAAUCUGAGUGUGUAGAUUAAUUUGGAACUUUGGCUGCUAGCAACUCGGUGAAAGUGUGUAUUUCAGUUAUCAACGAAAACAAUAAUUCUCGAUGAACAUUAGUAAAGGUCCCAGGUGAUUACUGAUUGGACCGUAAUAAUCGAAAGCGAAUGUAAAUAAAGUAAACUGUCAUGUGCACUUGGGACCUUUUCUAAUAUUUGUCUUCAAUUGAAAAUAUUCUCGAAGAAUACAACAUCCUUGAAAAAAACAGCUAGGAUAGAAUCAGCUCCAGGGUUGCCAUUUCGACAGAUCACAGAUCGCAUAUUUUCAUCACAGGGUGUGUUAGUAAUCCAUUCUUCGAGCCUGCGCAGUAUGCAUUGUCGAAUGUGACAUUGGAAAAAAGCUAUUGAAGUGAUUUCUAAUCUACAUAGAAAUAGCUAAUUGUGGAAAUUGUAGAAAUCCGUCGGUAUGAUACUGACUACGAAUAAAUUAAUUUUUUUGAGAGAGGUAACAGUACAUUGAAGCCGAAAUAAGUUCAGUACAGUUCUCUUAUGUUGAAGGGUAAGCAUAAGCCAUUCAGCAAUCAGUGUACGUAGGAUGGCAUACAUUUCGAAAAAAAUUGGAUCUAACGAAACCAAACUUCAUCGCGUGGGAAAAACUAGUUGCUAUCACACGUCGAGUAGUGAAAUAUUGAAUGAACUUCAAGAAGCAGUUCUUAAACAGAAUGAUAAAAAAAGUGCGAUGGAUUUCUGGAAAGCUUUUUACGCAUCCGUUGCUUCGUUGAACAACAUUUCAGAUCAUCAACAUCAUUUACAAUAUCUUUAUCCCUUGAGUGCAGACUACAAUUGCGUUAAAGAUGAUAACUGCAACAACUUGGAGUUACCUUCGAUUACUGGAAUAAUCCGUACAGCUGUUAAAAAAACUGGAGCUCUAAUGCAACAAGAUAAAAAAAGAGUUUCUCGUCAGUUUUUAAUGAACUUGAAAAACGUUCAACUACAAGUAAUUGUUGACGAUUUACAAAGGUACAUCGGAAGGCUAAACGACGAAUUGGUUCAGUUACUGAUGCAACGAGACGAACUUCAAAUGAGCCAGGAUGCAACUUUAAUUGACAUAGAUGAUUUAUCAUUAUACUUUUGAAGACACAGGAAAAGGAAUCAGUAGUGCGAGAAACGAGGAAGCACUCGAUCACGAACCAUAAUAUUAUAAAACUGAAGUGAACCUAAGUAAUUUAUUCACCAAUAUAUAUUGGAUGACAUUCGUA